rnacentral:rRNA from 1 species
UCCACGCGAGCCGAAGUGAAUAACGCCCCGCUUCCAGGAAAAGCCUCUAAGCUUCAGAUCACAUUGACCGUACCGUAAACCGACACUGGUGGGUGAGCAGAUAAUCUGCCAAGGCGCUUGAGAGAACUCGGGUUAAGGAACUCUGCAAAUUGAUACCGUAACUUCGGAAGAAGGUAUGCCUUCGACGGUGUAGGGAUUUACUCCCGAAGCUGUUGAAGGUCGCAGGUAAUCGGUGGCUGCGACUGUUUAUCAAAAACACAGGACUCUGCGAACACGCAAGUGGAAGUAUAGGGUCUGACGCCUGCCCGGUGCCGGAAGGUUAAUUGAUGGGGUUAGCCGCAAGGCGAAGCUCUUGAUCGAAGCCCCGGUAAACGGCGGCCGUAACAAUAACGGUCCUAAGGUAGCGAAAUUCCUUGUCGGGUAAGUUCCGACCUGCACGAAUGGCGUAACGCUGGCCACACUGUCUCGACCCGAGACUCAGUGAAGUUGAAAUCGCUGUGAAGAUGCGGCGUUCCCGCGGCAAGACGGAAAGACCCCGUGAACCUUCACUACAGCUUUACACUGAACUUUGAACCUUUCUGUGUAGGAUAGGUGGGAGGCUAUGAAACUUGGGCGCUAGCUCGAGUGGAGCCAACCUUGAAAUACCACCCUGGGAUGUUUGAAGUUCUAACCUUGGUCCGUAAUCCGGAUUGGGGACAGUGUAUGGUGGGUAGUUUGACUGGGGCGGUCUCCUCCCAAAGAGUAACGGAGGAGUGCAAUGGUACGCUCAGCGCGGUCGGUCAUCGCGCUCUAGAGUGCAAAGGCAUAAGCGUGCUUAACUGUGAGACAGACACGUCGAACAGGUACGAAAGUAGGUCUUAGUGAUCCGGUGGUUCUGUAUGGAAGGGCCAUCGCUCAACGGAUAAAAGGUACUCCGGGGAUAACAGGCUUAUUCCUCCCAAGAGUCCACAUCGACGGAGGAGUUUGGCACCUCGAUGUCGCCUCAUCACAUCCUGGGGCUGUAGCAGGUCCCAAGGGUAUGGCUGUUCGCCAUUUAAAGUGGUACGCGAGCUGGGUUCAGAACGUCGUGAGACAGUUCGGUCCCUAUCUGCCGUGGGCGUUGGAAACUUGAGGGUGAGCUGUCCUUAGUACGAGAGGACCGGGAUGGACGUAUCUCUGGUGUUCCGGUUGUCACGCCAGUGGCACUGCCGGGUAGCUAUAUACGGACGGGAUAAGCGCUGAAAGCAUCUAAGCGCGAAGCCCCCCCCAAGAUUAGGUUUCCCUGGGAACUCGAUUCCCCUAAAGGGCCGUCGGAGACUACGACGUUGAUAGGCUGGGUGUGUAAGUGCAGCAAUGCAUUGAGCUAACCAGUACUAAUUGCCCGUGAGGCUUGACC